rnacentral:rRNA from 1 species
ACGCUGGCGGCGUGCCUAAUACAUGCAAGUAGAACGCUAAAGGAGGAGCUUGCUUCUCUGGAUGAGUUGCGAACGGGUGAGUAACGCGUAGGUAACCUGCCUGGUAGCGGGGGAUAACUAUUGGAAACGAUAGCUAAUACCGCAUAAUAGUAGUUGUUGCAUGACAACUGUUUGAAAGGUGCAAUUGCAUCACUACCAGAUGGACCUGCGUUGUAUUAGCUAGUUGGUGGGGUAACGGCUCACCAAGGCGACGAUACAUAGCCGACCUGAGAGGGUGAUCGGCCACACUGGGACUGAGACACGGCCCAGACUCCUACGGGAGGCAGCAGUAGGGAAUCUUCGGCAAUGGACGGAAGUCUGACCGAGCAACGCCGCGUGAGUGAAGAAGGUUUUCGGAUCGUAAAGCUCUGUUGUAAGAGAAGAACGAGUGUGAGAGUGGAAAGUUCACACUGUGACGGUAUCUUACCAGAAAGGGACGGCUAACUACGUGCCAGCAGCCGCGGUAAUACGUAGGUCCCGAGCGUUGUCCGGAUUUAUUGGGCGUAAAGCGAGCGCAGGCGGUUAGAUAAGUCUGAAGUUAAAGGCUGUGGCUUAACCAUAGUACGCUUUGGAAACUGUUUAACUUGAGUGCAAGAGGGGAGAGUGG